AUCAUAUUAAAAAGGAAGAGAGGGAGAUUGGGACGCGGGCAAAGUGCUCUUCUUCAUCAGGAAGAUGUCAUCUCCUCGACUCCGUGCAAACCGCGGCCUGAGGAGUGAUGUUUCUACAGCUCCUUGCGUCCAGCUGAGACCAAGCAGAGGGUGCCCUUGACUCAGGUCAAGAAAGUGCUUCCCCCAAUACCGGAACUAGAAGUUACUUCCACGGUGCAUCUGCAAGAUCAGUAUACACGGGUAUCCUUCUGAAUUCCUCUGGACCAUUUGGACUGAAC